AUUGAACAUAAGAGUUUGAUCCUGGCUCAGAUUGAACGCUGGCGGCAUGCUUUACACAUGCAAGUCGGACGGCAGCACAGAGAAGCUUGCUUCUCGGGUGGCGAGUGGCGAACGGGUGAGUAACAUAUCGGAACGUACCGAGUAGUGGGGGAUAACUGAUCGAAAGAUCAGCUAAUACCGCAUACGUCUUGAGAGAGAAAGCAGGGGACCUUUGGGCCUUGCGCUAUUCGAGCGGCCGAUAUCUGAUUAGCUGGUUGGUGGGGUAAAGGCCUACCAAGGCGACGAUCAGUAGCGGGUCUGAGAGGAUGAUCCGCCACACUGGGACUGAGACACGGCCCAGACUCCUACGGGAGGCAGCAGUGGGGAAUUUUGGACAAUGGGCGCAAGCCUGAUCCAGCCAUGCCGCGUGUCUGAAGAAGGCCUUCGGGUUGUAAAGGACUUUUGUCAGGGAAGAAAAGGCUGUUGCUAAUAUCAGCGGCUGAUGACGGUACCUGAAGAAUAAGCACCGGCUAACUACGUGCCAGCAGCCGCGGUAAUACGUAGGGUGCGAGCGUUAAUCGGAAUUACUGGGCGUAAAGCGGGCGCAGACGGUUACUUAAGCAGGAUGUGAAAUCCCCGGGCUCAACCCGGGAACUGCGUUCUGAACUGGGUGACUCGAGUGUGUCAGAGGGAGGUAGAAUUCCACGUGUAGCAGUGAAAUGCGUAGAGAUGUGGAGGAAUACCGAUGGCGAAGGCAGCCUCCUGGGAUAACACUGACGUUCAUGCCCGAAAGCGUGGGUAGCAAACAGGAUUAGAUACCCUGGUAGUCCACGCCCUAAACGAUGUCAAUUAGCUGUUGGGCAACUUGAUUGCUUAGUAGCGUAGCUAACGCGUGAAAUUGACCGCCUGGGGAGUACGGUCGCAAGAUUAAAACUCAAAGGAAUUGACGGGGACCCGCACAAGCGGUGGAUGAUGUGGAUUAAUUCGAUGCAACGCGAAGAACCUUACCUGGUCUUGACAUGUACGGAAUCCUCCAGAGACGGAGGAGUGCCUUCGGGAGCCGUAACACAGGUGCUGCAUGGCUGUCGUCAGCUCGUGUCGUGAGAUGUUGGGUUAAGUCCCGCAACGAGCGCAACCCUUGUCAUUAGUUGCCAUCAUUCAGUUGGGCACUCUAAUGAGACUGCCGGUGACAAGCCGGAGGAAGGUGGGGAUGACGUCAAGUCCUCAUGGCCCUUAUGACCAGGGCUUCACACGUCAUACAAUGGUCGGUACAGAGGGUAGCCAAGCCGCGAGGCGGAGCCAAUCUCACAAAACCGAUCGUAGUCCGGAUUGCACUCUGCAACUCGAGUGCAUGAAGUCGGAAUCGCUAGUAAUCGCAGGUCAGCAUACUGCGGUGAAUACGUUCCCGGGUCUUGUACACACCGCCCGUCACACCAUGGGAGUGGGGGAUACCAGAAGUAGGUAGGGUAACCGCAAGGAGCCCGCUUACCACGGUAUGCUUCAUGACUGGGGUGAAGUCGUAACAAGGUAGCCGUAGGGGAACCUGCGGCUGGAUCACCUCCUUUCUAG
rnacentral:rRNA from 1 species